rnacentral:rRNA from 1 species
UACGUAGGGGGCAAGCGUUGUCCGGAAUCAUUGGGCGUAAAGAGCGUGUAGGCGGCCCGAUAAGUCCGCUGUGAAAGUCCAGGGCUCAACCCUGGAAUGCCGGUGGAUACUGUCGGGCUCGAAUCCGGAAGAGGUGAGUGGAAUUCCUGGUGUAGCGGUGAAAUGCGCAGAUAUCAGGAGGAACACCAAUGGCGAAGGCAGCUCACUGGGACGGUAUUGACGCUGAGACGCGAAAGCGUGGGGAGCGAACCGG